rnacentral:rRNA from 1 species
CCUACGGGUGGCUGCAGUGGGGAAUAUUGCACAAUGGGGGAAACUCUGAUGCAGCGAUGCCGCGUGAGUGAAGAAGGCUUUCUGUAUGUAAAGCUCUAUCAGCAGGGAAGAAAAUGACGGUACCUGUUUACUACUCCCCGGCUAACUCCGUUCCAGCAGCCGCGGUAAUACGUAGGGGGCAAGCGUUAUCCGGAUUUACUGGGGGUAAAGGGAGCGUAGACGGCAGCACAAGUCUGUAGUGAAAUGCCGGGGCUUAACCCCGGAACUGCUUUGGAAACUGUGCAGCUAGAGUGCAGUAGAGGUAAGUGGAAUGCCUAGUGUAGCGGUGAAAUGCGUAGAUAUUAGGAGGAACACCAGUGGCGAAGGCAGCUUACUGGACUGUAACUGACGUUGAGGCUCGAAAGCGUGGGGAGCAAACAGGAUUAGAUACCCCAGUAGUC